AUACAGUGGUGUGAACAUCUUCUCAACAAGUUUUUGUAUCUCUCCCAAGCUUCAUAAAGUGAUUCUCCUUCUGCUGCACGAAAGAUGUGAUUUCUCCUCUCAGCUU